GUCCCAGCGGCGCAAUCGGUUAGCGCACGGUACUUAUAAUGCCGAGGUUGUGAGUUCGAGCCUCACCUGGGACA
rnacentral:tRNA from 1 species